CUUGAAUCCUGACUCUGGAGUCACUGAGUCCAGGUUUCAGACAACCUCCUCAAGUAAUGCCGGAUCACACUGAUGUGUUUUUACAUUGAAUUUCAUCCAAUGCAGCCGCCUAGACCAGCUGUGUCAUUGCUCAUGUCUCACUCAUGCUAUGCUUCUGCAACCUGAGAGCUUUUUCGACACUCUGUUUUCUCACUUACACAGACAGAUAUGCUUGUACAUCGGGCUGUGAGCUUUGUCAAACACGCCGUGAGUGCACAGCAGCGCUGGCGCCGAAACACAUCCAGUGCAGACGCUGACAGAGGACAGCAGCUGCUGCUAUUGUGCCGCUGACGUGCUGCUUCCGCUGCAUAGCCAGCUACGACAAGGUGAUUGGACCAAAUACCAAUUAAACCCAGGCAGCGCACGACACUUUGUGUCCAACUCAAGUGCACAGCAGCUCCACACACUAUUGUUAAACUCUGGCUGCUCGACAGCUCGUGUGUGGUUCCUUCAGUGUGUCAAGACGGUCUGGGAGAAUAGAAAGCAAACAAAGGCUUGAGUUUCACAAAGACACCAACACUGGGUUGUUAUGUUCUACCUUUCUGAUAUUUAAGCUUGAAAUAUAUCUCUCUUUAUCUCAUAGCUAUUCGAUUUAGUCCUGACCUUGACCGCACACCGGAUACUAUAACAGGAUUUCACAGCAGGAGAUCUGCAACACUUACGCUUGUCUACCAUGAGUCUUGCUGUGAGAUUAAGUUCGAGUGGAAUAACAUCUUUUUUACAGCUGAAAUGUAGAUACUCCUCUGGAGAUUUUGGAGAAAACAAACUACAUUGAAUAUCCAUUACUGUUUUAUGUUUCAUGUCACUUUUUCCACCCAAAAAAACAGAACCGGUCCAGAAAGUAUUAGAGUCCCACCUCUAUUGUUUUUUUCUCUUUUAUUUUUUUUACUACAUUUCAUGUUCAGGUUGUGAUUUUGAAGUUUUUCACCAAAAUCGCAUUACCUGCAUCAUUUUCAAGGACUUUUCUUCUGCAGAGCUCCUGUAGCUCAUUAGCGAUUCUCCUCUGAGUCCUGGGCGGAGACCGCGCUGCUCUGCACACUCCUAUUCACACUAGCUUGCAGCCUAACAUUGCGGAAGUAGUCAGACACUAACAUCUUUGGGGACAUGAUGAAAGUUAAUGUCAUAAUUAGCUUUCCUACGAGCAUUGCAAUUGGCUAACGUAGGGUGACCAUAUUCUGAAUCCCCAAAAAGAGGACACUACGACGCAGGGCGGAGUCACAGAGUCAUGGGUAGUAAAUUUUGAAUUUUUCGGGUUUGGUCAAGUGAUUUUUACAUGCUUGUAACUCAGUUAGUUACAGCAACACAAACUCGAAACUUCAAAACGAAACUCCGGACAUUUGGAGGAUUUGAUAAACUCCCCCAGACAAGGCCGGACAAGGCCGGACAGCCCUCCCCAAAAAAAGGACAUGUCUAGGUAAAAGAGGACAUACGGUCACCCUAGCUAAUGCACACGCUUGUUCCAUGAUUGUCCUUUCUACUUCUCCAAGUCUGGCCUGCAGAGCGAGGCUCCAGGGGCGGAGUUUGGAGUUGUGACAUAGGAAAUCUCACUGUAUCUGAAUCUGCUGUUUGUCUACCAGAGGCUCAAAACGAUUAAAAGGAAAAAUACUCUGAAAUGCAGUUUUACACUUAGUUUUCUCUUGAUAUGUCCUGUAGCAUCAAAAAAAUGCCAAAUAAACACGUAGACAACAAGAAAAACAUGAUUUUUAUUGGAGUUGGUCUUUAACAAAAGACUUGGCUGACAGGAGGUAAAGCUAAGAUCUGUUUUGGGGAGACACAGCACUGGUUCAACAAUGAAAUCUGGAUGUAAAAGAUUUAUCUGACAACAGCAUGACUGCAGCAUAACUCACACUGGACCGAACAUAAAGCUGUCUUUUCUGGGCAAAGUUGUCAUCGCCUGUCAGCUUGAUGAGGACUGAGACAAGCUGGUAAACAAAAAACAGGCACUCACCGCCAAGGGCGAGAAAGAGAGAACGGUAAAAACAGUUAUCCGACUUCAAGCACCACCCUGUUGUGUUAAAGUGUUGGGCUGUAACUUGGUGUCUUAUAUCUAAUGGUGCUUUCGCAGCUGUUACAGCUCUAAUGCGUUUGCUAACCCGCCCACCUAAUCUAACCAGCGGUUCUGUUUGACGUCUAAAGAGGCUGUAACUUCUUUUUUCUCUUUUUAUUAAUUACACUAAUGUCCUCAGACUUUUUAUUAGCGUUAAACGGAUUCAUAAACAUGUCCGGUCAGAGAUUUAAUGCUCCUGGACCUCUGCGAUUCAGGUCAAAGAUUCAAUCUGCAUUAUUAAUGUCAGGUGUAAGACGCCAUCUCUAAUCGGUUAACAUGCACAUGUGCCGCAGUGACACCGCAAAGGGAAGCCAAGCACCUGUGAAGGUUAACAGUCAUCACCUCAAUUUGUCUGCUCCUCCUAUCAGCCUCAUCUCGUGUCAAAAGCUUUGCUGUACAUGGAUGAGUAGUGUUUGAUGAGAUGUGUGAGUGGGGAGGAUGUAUUACCAAAUGUCAGCACGUCUUUUCCCGGAUACAGCCAUGUCAAUUACGUAGCGGGGCGGGGGGAUGAGUGCCUCGCCUCGCCGUCUGAAAAGUGCAGGCCUGUUCGAAUCAGACAACCAAUCAGACUUUGUUACGCCUUUGAGGUCACUUCAUGGCCGAAUAGGAUCUCACAGCUGGUUGGCAAACCCACCCAUGGUCGGUCUUUGUACAGAGAAGAUGACAAAACAAGAGGCUGGAGAAAAAGC